GAUGAACGCUGGCGGCGUGCCUAAUACAUGCAAGUCGAGCGAACAGACGAGGAGCUUGCUCCUCUGACGUUAGCGGCGGACGGGUGAGUAACACGUGGAUAACCUACCUAUAAGACUGGGAUAACUUCGGGAAACCGGAGCUAAUACCGGAUAAUAUAUUGAACCGCAUGGUUCAAUAGUGAAAGACGGUUUUGCUGUCACUUAUAGAUGGAUCCGCGCCGCAUUAGCUAGUUGGUAAGGUAACGGCUUACCAAGGCAACGAUGCGUAGCCGACCUGAGAGGCUGGGAGGCAACACUGGAGCGGAGAAACGGCCCGGGAUCCUAAGGGAGGCAGCAGGGGGGAAUGGUGGAAAAUGGGGGAAAGCAUGAUGCAGUAAUGCCGCGUGAGUGAUGAAGGCCUUAAGGUUAAAAAGCUCUUUUAACCAGGAUGAUAAUGACAGUACCGGGAGAAUAAGCGCCGGCUAACUCCGUG
rnacentral:rRNA from 1 species